rnacentral:rRNA from 1 species
CACGUAGGGUGCGAGCGUUGUCCGGAAUUAUUGGGCGUAAAGAGCUCGUAGGCGGUGUGUCGCGUCGGCCGUGAAAACCUGCAGCUUAACUGUGGGCGUGCGGUCGAUACGGGCAUCACUGGAGUUCGGCAGGGGAGACUGGAAUUCCUGGUGUAGCGGUGAAAUGCGCAGAUAUCAGGAGGAACACCGGUGGCGAAGGCGGGUCUCUGGGCCAAUACUGACGCUGAGGAGCGAAAGCGUGGGGAGCGAACAGG